rnacentral:rRNA from 1 species
AUUGAACGCUGGCGGCAGGCCUAACACAUGCAAGUCGAGCGAGCGGCGGACGGGUGAGUAAUGUCUGGGAAACUGCCUGAUGGAGGGGGAUAACUACUGGAAACGGUAGCUAAUACCGCAUACCAUCAGAUUUGCCCAGAUGGGAUUAGCUAGUCGGUGGGGUAACGGCUCACCUAGGCGACGAUCCCUUGCUGGUCUGAGAGGAUGACCAGCCACACUGGAACUGAGACACGGUCCAGACUCCUAGGGGAGGAAGCAGUGGGGAAUAUUGCACGAUGGGGGAAAGCCUGAUGCAGCCAUGCCGCGUGUGUGAAGAAGGCCUUAGGGUUGUAAAGCACUUUCAGCGGGGAGGCGUUACCCGCAGAAGAAGCACCGGCUAACUCCGUGCCAGCAGCCGCGGUAAUAC